GUCUAUGGCCAUACCACCCUGGAUGUAGCUGAUCUUGUCUGAUCUCGGAAGCUAAGCAAGUUUGGGCCUGCUUAGUACUUGGAUGGGAGAAAAUAUAAUGUUGUAUGAU
ensembl:rRNA 5S_rRNA 5S ribosomal RNA